AGUUAUAUCCUUGCAAAUCCCCGAGUCACCCCGGAGACGGAGAGUUUCAUGAAGUCGGUGAGGUGAGAGUUGCUACCUUUCUCUCAUAUAUCUCUCUAGCCUAUAGGUUUCUCCAAAUUCUAGGGUUUUGAUUUGUAAAUCCUUGUUUGGCUGAGGGUUUCAAAACAGGAAGAAUAUUGGACCAGGCUUCUCAUGCUAAUUUCUGUUGCAAGAUGAGCUCACGCGGAGAACGUUGCACCACGGCAAGACUAAAGGAGGACUUUAUCCACUCACUCCAUCCAUUUCAUCCUCGCCUUCUAUCCAUGCCUUGUCAUUCGUCCGUGUUCUGCUUCAAGUUUGGCAUUCUCAGCUUGGUCAUGGAUCCUAUCCCAUUGUGAAGCGCCUCGUGUCUCAGUUGCAUUUACCAGUUUCAUCCAAUAAGCUGCUAGUAGUCUGUUCUGCAUGUCAACAAGGCAAAAGCCAUAGACUUCCCUUUGUUGCGUCAUCUUCAAUGUCUAGGAGUCCUUUAGAGUUAUUGUUUGUUGAUGUUCGGGGUCCUGCCCCGACUUUGUCAGCUAAUGGCUACAGAUAUUAUCUUUCAAUUGUUGAUCAUUUUAGUAAAUUCUUAUGGGUCUUUCCUAUUGCAAGAAAA